AUGCCCCAUCUCUUGUCUCGCUCGCAGGCACCGAAGAAGGAGAAGGCCCCAGCGGCAUCGUCGAAGCCGGCCAAGUCCGGCAGUGGCAAGCAGAAGAAGAAGAAGUGGAGCAAGGGCAAGCAAAAGGAGAAGGUGAACAAUGCGGUGCCCAAGUACAAGCAGCCUGUGUUUGUCUACCUGCAGAUCAACGGGUCUCUGACAAGCAGAUCACGCCCUACGUCCUCUCCGAGCGCCUUAGGGUAA
rnacentral:rRNA from 1 species